rnacentral:tRNA from 1 species
CUCGAUAUAGCUCAGUUGGUAGAGCGGAGGACUGUAGUUCCUUAGGUCACUGGUUCAAGUCCGGUUGUCGAGA